AUCAACCAAUAACGCAAUGACCGACGAUGAACAACAUCAAAUAAAUCACGUCAUUAGAUCGCUUCACUUUAAUCGGCCUUUGAUAUGUGUAUAAAAAAACAUCCAAAUACUCAAUUCUAACACAACACAUUGUUUGUACAGUUUUAUUUUCUUUUUUCAAAUCAAUCCUUAAAAACCAACCGAAAAAUCAAAAAUGGGCGCUGAAAAAGUAUUCAUAAACAUCGUCGUCGUCGGACAAGUCCAAUCUGCCAAGGCCAUCAACACCGUCGCCAAGUCUACACAAGCCACCAACCAUGUACUCAUGGUGCGUACAUAAUAUUAUAUGUACAUUAUAUACAGGAAUUGUUAAUUCGUGUACUCUAUCUAUCAAAAACCUAAAAAUGCCAUAAUCCAAACAGUGCAAUAAUAUGUACCUAAUUCAUAUUAGUAUUGACGUCAAAAAAUAAAUCAGUUAUUUCGAUGUACAGA